AAUAGAUACCCGGGUAGUCCACGCCGUAAACGAUGAGUGCUAAGUGUUGGGGGGUUUCCGCCCCUCAGUGCUGCAGCUAACGCAUUAAGCACUCCGCCUGGGGAGUACGGUCGCAAGACUGAAACUCAAAGGAAUUGACGGGGGCCCGCACAAGCGGUGGAGCAUGUGGUUUAAUUCGAAGCAACGCGAAGAACCUUACCAGGUCUUGACAUCCCGGUGACCACUAUGGAGACAUAGUUUCCCCUUCGGGGGCAACGGUGACAGGUGGUGCAUGGUUGUCGUCAGCUCGUGUCGUGAGAUGUUGGGUUAAGUCCCGCAACGAGCGCAACCCUUAUUCUUAGUUGCCAUCAUUUAGUUGGGCACUCUAAGGAGACUGCCGGUGAUAAACCGGAGGAAGGUGGGGAUGACGUCAAAUCAUCAUGCCCCUUAUGACCUGGGCUACACACGUGCUACAAUGGACGGUACAAACGGUUGCCAACCCGCGAGGGGGAGCUAAUCCGAUAAAACCGUUCUCAGUUCGGAUUGUAGGCUGCAACUCGCCUACAUGAAGCC
rnacentral:rRNA from 1 species